rnacentral:misc_RNA from 1 species
GAUGAAGAACGCAGCGAAAUGCGAUAAGUAGUGUGAAUUGCAGAAUUCAGUGAAUCAUCGAAUCUUUGAACGCACAUUGCGCCCCUUGGUAUUCCAUGGGGCAUGCCUGUUCGAGCGUCAUUUCACCACUCAAGCCUGGCUUGGUGUUGGGCGACGUCCCCUUUGGGGACGCGCCUCGAAACGCUCGGCGGCGUGGCACCGGCUUUAAGCGUAGCAGAAUCUUUCGCUUUGGAAGUCGGGGCCCCGUCUGCCGGAAGACCUACUCGCAAGGUUGACCUCGGAUCAGGCAGGGAUACCCGCUGAACUUAAGCAUAUCAAUAAGCGGAGGA